UGCAUGAAGACGGAAUUGCUAGUAAUCGCGAAUCAGCAUGUCGCGGUGAAUACGUUCCCGGGCCUUGUACACACCGCCCGUCAAACCAUGAGAGUUGGGAAUACCCGAAGUCUGUAAUCUAACCGCAAGGAGGAUGCAGCCGAAGGUAGGCUCAAUGAUUGGGGUUAAGUCGUAACAAGGUAGC
rnacentral:rRNA from 1 species